GUGGGGAAUAUUGGACAAUGGGCGAAAGCCUGAUCCAGCAAUGCCGCGUGAGUGAUGAAGGCCUUAGGGUUGUAAAGCUCUUUUACCCGGGAUGAUAAUGACAGUACCGGGAGAAUAAGCUCCGGCUAACUCCGUGCCAGCAGCCGCGGUAAUACGGGGGGAGCUAGCGUUGUUCGGAAUUACUGGGCGUAAAGCGCACGUAGGCGGAUUUGUAAGUUAGAGGUGAACGCCUGGAGCUUAACUCCAGAACUGCCGUUAAGACUGCAUCGCUUGAAUCCAGGAGAGGUGAGUGGAAUUCCUAGUGUAGAGGUGAAAUUCGUAGAUAUUCGGAAGAACACCAGUGGCGAAGGCGGCUCACUGGACUGGUAUUGACGCUGAGGUGCGAAAGCGUGGGGAGCAAACAGGAUUAGAAACCCUGGUAGUCC
rnacentral:rRNA from 1 species